rnacentral:tRNA from 2 species
UCCUGGUUAGCUCAAUGGGUAGAGCGCUCCCGUUGUCUCGGAGAGGUCCCGUGUUCGACUCCCGGACCAGGAG